GCAUGUGGAGAUGCCUGGCCCGUCGGAGCCACCUCCAAGGAGAAAGCAGAGCCGCGCCGCCAGCACGUCUCUCCACAGCAGAGUUUUGGGACUUCAGAGCAGCAAGAUGUGUGGAUGGAACAUCAUUGCUCAGAAACUGAGACCCCUGAAGAGCUGCAACAACCUCCCUGGUUCCAGCUUGAUCCACUAACUCUGAUUGGAGAACCUUCAAAUAAAUCCAUCUUCUCCAUCUUCUCCUAAAAGUGGAUGGAACAUCAUUGCUCGGAAACUGAGACCCCUGAAGAGCUGCAACAACCUCCCUGGUUCCAGCUUGAUCCACUAACUCUGAUUGGAGAACCUUCAAAUAAAUCCAUCUUCUCCAUCUUCUCCUAAAAGUUUGAACCACCAUAAAUCUUGAUGUUACACAAACUUUGACAUCCCGCAUUAACCCAG